GAUGAACGCUGACAGAAUGCUUAACACAUGCAAGUCAACUUGAACUUCGGUUUGGGUGGCGGACGGGUGAGUAACGCGUAAAGAACUUGCCUCACAGUUAGGGACAACAUUUGGAAACGAAUGCUAAUACCUGAUAUUAUGAUUUUAGGGCAUCCUAGAAUUAUGAAAGCUAUAUGCGCUGUGAGAGAGCUUUGCGUCCCAUUAGCUAGUUGGAGAGGUAACGGCUCACCAAGGCGAUGAUGGGUAGCCGGCCUGAGAGGGUGAACGGCCACAAGGGGACUGAGACACGGCCCUUACUCCUACGGGAGGCAGAGGUGGGGAUUAUUGGACAAUGGCCCAAGCGUCUGAUCCAGCAAUUCUGUGUGCACGAUGAAGUUUUUCGGAAUGUAAAGUGCUUUCAGUUGGGAAGAAAAAAAUGACGGUACCAACAGAAGAAGUGACGGCUAAAUACGUG
rnacentral:rRNA from 1 species